CCUCCCACCCUUGUCUCUCUACACCUGUUGCUUUGGCGGGCCCACUGGGGCUCCCUGGUCGCCGGGGGACGAAUUCGCCUGCCCCCUGUCCCGGCUUCGGAGCGCGGGGGGCAGAGCAUUCUUGUCGUAUUAUCACAACGACUCUCGACAACGGAUAUCUCGGCUCUCGCAUCGAUGAAGAACGUAGCGAAAUGCGAUACUUGGUGUGAAUUGCAGGAUCCCGCGAACCACUGAGUCUUUGAACGCAAGUUGCGCCCGGAGCCUUCUGGCCGAGGGCACGUCUGCCUGGGCGUCACGCAUCGCUGCCCCCGCUCAACCCCCCUUAAAACGGGUUCGUUGUGCAUAUGGGGGCACAUGUUGGCCUCCCAUGCGCACCGUCGCAUGGAUGCUUAAAUUUGAGUACUCGACGCCUGUUGUCCGCGAACCUCGUUCGGAUCCGGGAGGGACCUGCGGGGGUUGGUCACCACCACAUUUUCUAUUAUGGUUGACCUCGGAUCAGGUAGGAGUUACCCGCUGAACUUAAGAUA
rnacentral:rRNA from 1 species